AUGCAAAGACAAUUCAAGAGCCCUGAGGGAGAUGGUAGAGCUAAAUGGGAUGCUUUCUGCAGGGCUGGUGUGAAUUCUACCAUAGGGAAGAUUCUGGAAUUCCUUUGCAGUGCUGGCCAGGUAAACAAAAAGGCUAUAUGCUGUCAUGCAGGAACACAACGGGGCGAGCUUAAACCCUCAAAGGGACAGCCCUCCCUGGCUGCAGAAUCAAAGCCAGAGCUAUUUCUAAAGGAGUUCCUAAGUGUUGAAAAGCUAUCCUCCUACUUCAAGUAUCCUGUUGCAUCCAGACUUCCUGAGACUCCCCAACAUCUGAAGUUCCUGGAAGAUGGUGUGUCCCAGCCAGUGGAAUGUGCUUUCUGUGGCACAGUCGAUAUCUGUUCUGGCCAAUGAAACCCUUUAAAGAAGCUCUGAUGCUUUUGUGCAUGAAGCAUCCCUUACAAUUAGAGACGCACGCUCUGCCAUCUUGGCUCUUCCUCUGGCAGCUGCGCCCCGAUCUGUUCAGGUUGGGGAGACCUUUCCUGGCCUUCCUCAAAACCAUCAUUUGUGCAGCGUCCCCGGGGCUACGAACAGCAAGGAAAUGAAGGAAAGCAAGCAACAUCUGGUGUUAAACAAAUACCAUCAUCUUACAAAUGUCUCGUCUCUGGGAUAAUGCUUCUUGCGUAUGCAGAGCAAAGAGGGAUGUCAACACCAGGACCCAAUACUAGAGAAGAAACAGCUGAAAGGCACUCAUAGCCCUUCCCUACUGUGUGUCCAGCAAAAUUCCAUUUUGGAAAACAAGAAAAGGUGCUGACGUUCAUAGCUUUUUCUCACACUAGACCGAAAACCCACCUCCUGCUCUCUGUUCUGAUGAGCUGAAUCCUGCAAACAUGCGUCGUGACCGUGGGUCAGUGUCUGGGGUGGUACCCAGCAAAGGGUGAGCUAGCGUGGACUCCAUGAGCAUCUUCUGUCUUGCUCCCUUGCCCCCCAGCCGAGACCAUUCCUGUCUGUGCUGCUGCAGGUGCAUUUGGGAGUUCCUGAGACAUUCUCAAGCAUCAUCCAGAGAAUUCUGCCUGUAAAUGGCUAAGACAGAUGUUUUAUGUCUUGCUUCAUUAUUAUGUGUGUUAUACCCCAAAGAAGAAAAACGUUAAUGAAUCAUUUUGUAACACUUAAGAGACUCCUGUUGAGCUGUGAUGGGAAUGGCCUGGAGCCAAAUGGCGAUGGAGACCUUUGUCCUUGGCACCCACUUGCUCAGUCUUCUCUCCUCUUAGCAUGAUUUUUUUCUCUCUCAAGUGAAAUCCAUCACCUAGCUUCACGUGAGGCAACCAGGCACCUCGCGCUGACCCAGGCCAUCAAGGAUCCUCCUUGUCAGAUCCCAGACAAGGCUGCUACCACCAGAUGUUGUAUCCUGUGA
rnacentral:lncRNA from 1 species